GUUUGAUCCUGGCUCAGAAUCAACGCUGGCGGCGUGCCUAACACAUGCAAGUCGAACGAGAAAGUGGAGCAAUCCAUGAGUAAAGUGGCGACCGGGUGAGUAACACGUGACUAACCUACCUUCAAGUGGGGGAUAACCUCGGGAAACCGGGGCUAAUACCGCAUAAAAUCUUUGGGAUGGAAAUCCUGUUGAUCAAAGGAGCAAUUCGCUGGAAGAGGGGGUCGCGGCUGAUUAGCUAGUUGGCGGGGUAAUGGCCCACCAAGGCUUUGAUCGGUAGCCGGCCUGAGAGGGCGCACGGCCACACUGGAACUGAAACACGGUCCAGACUCCUACGGGAGGCAGCAGUGGGGAAUUUUGCGCAAUGGGGGAAACCCUGACGCAGCAACGCCGCGUGGAGGAUGAAGUCCCUUGGGACGUAAA
rnacentral:rRNA from 1 species